rnacentral:rRNA from 1 species
GAGGGAAAGGCGAAAAGAACCCCGGCGAGGGGAGUGAAAAAGAACCUGAAACCGUGUACGUACAAGCAGUAGGAGCCCCAUCACUCAAGUGCCUCGCACUGAGUGAUGCAAGAACAUCACCGAAAAUAGCGCCGAAUUUGCUAACAAGGUUGGUCGAUUUUUUCAAGCCGUCGCGCAGUGUACCUAGAAGUACACGAGCAACGGAAGUUAAAAAAUCGGGCAAGAUUGAACGCAAAGGCAAGCGGGACAUUUGAGGAUGGGGUGACUGCGUACCUUUUGUAUAAUGGGUCAGCGACUUAUAUUCUGUAGCAAGGUUAACCGUAUAGGGGAGCCGUAGGGAAACCGAGUCUUAACUGGGCGAAUGAGUUGCAGGGUAUAGACCCGAAAC